rnacentral:rRNA from 1 species
AGCAGCCGCGGUAAUUCCAGCUCCAAUAGCGUAUAUUAAAGUUGUUGCAGUUAAAAGCUCGUAGUUGAAUUUCGGGGUUAGUAGGUUGGUCAUGCCUCUGGUAUGUACUGGUCUCACUGAUUCCUCCUUCCUGAUGAACCUUAAUGCCAUUUAUUUGGUGUCUUGGGGAAUUUGGGCUGUUACUUUGAAAAAAUUAGAGUGUUUAAAGCAAGCUAACGCUUGAAUACAUUAGCAUGGAAUAAUGAAAUAGGACGUUCGAUCCUAUUUUGUUGGUUUCUAGGAUUGACGUAAUGAUUAAUAGGGAUAGUUGGGGGCAUUAGUAUUCAAUUGUCAGAGGUGGAAUUCUUGGAUUUAUUGAAGACUAACUACUGCGAAAGCAUUUGCCAAGGAUGUUUUCAUUAAUCAAGAACGAAAGUUAGGGGAUCGAAGACGAUCAGAUACCGUCGUAGUCUUAACCAUAAACUAUGCCGACUAGGGAUCGGAUGAUGUUAAUUUUUUAAUGACUCAUUCGGCGCCUUAC